rnacentral:lncRNA from 1 species
AUGGGGUCCCUUGGUCCCCAGGGGCUCUCCUGCUCCCACUGCCACCGUGGGCUGGAACAGCAGAGAGCCUGGAUGGAUCACUCCUGCUCUGUAGCAUCAGAGGUGUUUCCAGAGGAUGGAUUCAGUCACAGAGGUUUCCAGAGGGAUGGAUUCAGUCACACAGAGGUUUCCAGAGGGAUGGAUUCAGUCACAGAGGUGUUUCCAGAGGGAUGGAUUCAGUCACAGAGGUGUUUCCAGAGGAUGGAUUCAGUCACACGGAGGUUUCCAGAGGGAUGGAUUCAGUCACACAGAGGUUUCCAGAGGAUGGAUUUAUUCCUGCACACAGAGGUGUUUCCAGCCUGGCAGAGCUGUCAGGGCCCUGUGGUUUCUGCAGCCUGGGGAGCAGCCAGGAGGCAGCUCAGCCUCUGCUCCAUUCAUGCCUUCCCUGAAUCACAUUCCUGUGCCCUUAGUCACCCUUUGGUUGGCUCAGCUACAAACAGGCUGCAGUUUGUUCCCUUUCCUGCCUCCCCAGCCCUGCCUUUGCUGGGAGUCCCAGCUCUGCAGCUCCAGGCACGGGCUCUGCCUGCCUGGGCAGGGAAAUGCCCUCAGGAGGGGCUUCCAAGCCCUCGGCAGGGUGGGCUCCAUUUCCAGCAGGUGCCCGUCAGGGGCUCCUGGGAAUGGUUCCAUUCCCCCUCUGCAGGUUUCUGGUUUGUAUUUCUUGUUUCGAGGCGUUGUUUGUGCAGCGGGGAUGGGAAGUGGGGAGGUGUGAGAGCAUUCCCACCAGGAUGUGCAGCUCCUGGGGGUUUGUUGGGGCUGCCUCUAAGGUUUGGUGAUGGGCCACGGGCUCAGAGGCUGCAGGAGCCCCGAGGGCUCGGCUGGGGACAGGGAUGGAGGGACAGGACACAGGGAUGGAGGGACAGGACACGGGGAUGGAGGGACAGGACGGGGGGGGGGGGGGGGGGGGGGGGGGGGGGGGGGGGGGGGGGGGGGGGGGGGGGGGGGGGGGGGGGGGG